UUCCUCUUUUCUUUUCUGAAAACCCCCUAAAAAAAAAGAAAAAACAUUUUCCUCAUAAUUUUCUUUUCCGCUUCUUCGUAUUCUCGUAAACUCUUUUUCAAUCGAAAUGCAGAAGAAAAACCCUAAUUCUUCAUUGCUUACUGAUCAUCAUCGUUGGAUUUCUCCGCAUUAGACGACGACACAGAUAUUGCCCCAUCAACUUCAUCUUAUCCCUCUUUCAUAAAUCUCAGAAGAUUGUCGUUUUGGUGAUUUUUUUUGGUAUAUUGAUUUGUCAGAUUUUUAGGGUUUUGUUGUUUGUGAAGAAAUACUUGGAGGAAGUUGAGGAUUUUUAUUAGGGUUGUAUCGCCAUGGCUCCGGGGCGUAAAAGAGGAGCAAAUAGAAACAAAGCGAAGAAUCAGUUAAGUUUAGGGGAUCUGGUUCUUGCUAAGGUUAAAGGUUUCCCUGCAUGGCCAGCGAAGAUAAGCCGACCUGAAGACUGGGAGCGUGGUCCAGAUCCUAGAAAAUACUUCGUUCAAUUCUUUGGAACUGCUGAAAUUGCAUUUGUAGCCCCUGCUGAUAUACAAGCCUUUACUAAUGAGACUAAGAAUAAAUUAUCAGCACGAUGCCAAAGUAAGACAGUUAAAGGUAAGGCCAUUAGUGAUUUUUCCCGUGCUGUAAACGAGAUCUGCAAAGCUUUUGAAGAUCUUCAGCAAAAUAAUUCGGAUGAAUGUAAAGGGGAAGAGGUUCCCUUGGUUGAGGGUGGGGAAGUUGACUUGAACGACCAGGUUGAGGUGGUUGAGCACAAGGAAGGUGUUUGUAAAGAGGACUUAGGCGAUGAAGUAUCUGUUUCCGAGGAAUGUCCACCUGAGGAGGGUGAGAGUGUCAGCAAGGAUGUAAAGCCUAUUGUUUCUUGUAAUGCAAAACAAGUCUCUCCAACUAUAUCUGGUAAGGGAAACAAUGCAUCUAAUGACGGGACACAUUUGCAGAAGCACGAUGCACACAAGACAGAUAAUGCUUCCCCAAUAGAAGAAGAAUCUGGUUGUAGAGGUGAGGAUCGUAAGGCCACUGGUGAUUCUCAACUCAAGAAGGUAGAGAGCAUUUCAGGAAAAUCGGAAGCCGGUAGUGACCAUGCUUCUCCUUCUGAUGCUGAUCCUUCUACUAGCUUGGCUGAUGAUAGUUCUCCUACUUUAGCUGUGGCAAUUGGAACAAAGCGGGGCAGUAGUGGACAGAAGGCAGUCACAAACGGUGACAGGAACAAGAAAGUGGUAGCUGUUCCAGGAAAGAAAGGACAGGGUAUGGUUGAACUCCAGAAUAAGAAGCAUUCAGCAGUUUCGCCUUUGGAAAAUGAUAACCUAAAUGGUGAUGUUGACGUAACUGAAUCUGGAGAACAUCUUAAAGAUGGAGGGAAAAGAAAAACUGCCCCAUGCAGUAGCUUGAAGGGAAAAUCUCCCAGCUCCGUGAAAUAUGAUCCAGAUAUCAGUAGUAGUCGGAAGAAAGAUAAAAGCCUCAUAAAAGCUAAAAAGCAUGACAUGCCAGCUCGUAAAACGUCUGGUUCUCGUGAUGUUGACAAUGAAAAUAUAGUCAAGUCUAAGAAAGAGGGCAAAGAUGGACCUUUGUAUUCUGGAGAUCGCAGGGAAAAGAAUGCAGAGCCUAGAGAUAGAAAGCAUAGGUUGGAUACUGCUGAGGAUUUGCAUCCUGCCAAAAGACCAAAAAGCAACGAAGUAAACACUACCCCUGGUGCUAAAAAAUCCGUUGUGGAAAGAAGAAAGAAAGAUUCGUCGGUUGUCGUUGGCAACAAAGGAAUUCCACAGCAUACAGAUGUUAAAAAACCCUCAUCAGGUAAGAAAGCUGAAGAGCGCUCAAAAUCAAGAACUGAGUUGCGUAAUGUUGGAUCUACCUUGCCAAGCGAUGAGGAUGUUCUUCCUCUAUCGAAGCGAUGCCGUCGGGCAGUAGAGGUUAUGUCUGACUGUGCUAAGCAAGCUGGUUCGGGUAAGAAGGAAAUGUCGAGAACCAGUAAUGUUAGGUCUCCUAGCGUUCAAGUUCAUUCUAGACGGAGAGCACUUCUAAGGUUGGAUGAUGACGAAGACGAAGAUGAAAAAGUAUAUAAGAUUAAGACGCCAACUCAUGUUGAGUCUACCAAACAAGUUGCUGGAGUUAAAGUUGAAAGUUCUGAUUUAGCCAGACCAACCAAUUUGUCUGAGGAUGGUAUAUUGCCUAUCAAGCCGUCAAAUGAGACUUCAUCACCAAGUCCAAGUGAAACUGAAGAGAAGAAGCUGAAAAAAGCAAAGGCUCUGCAUGUUACCCCUAGUCCUGGAAAAUUAGUAACUCAGAAAUCAGUUGUGAAGGAGGAGACUAGCUGUCCUACUACCCCUAAAACCUCCUUAGGGUCUGUUGCCGAAGCUAAGGAACUAGAGCUUAGACCCAUCAAACCUCAAGUCAGACCAUGUGGAUCGUCCCAGGCAGGGUCAAAUAAAGGCUCAGCUCAGGCUUCUUAUAGUUUAAAGCGUUCUUCCAAUCAAGUGGUGUCCCAGAAACACAGGCCUACGUCUUCAUCUGAAACUUCAAGGAUUACCUCCAGCGUGCGAGUGAAAGUGGAAAGCACCACAGAUACUGAUGCUUUUCUUGAGAGAUUGGAAGCUGCAAAAGAGGAUAAAACAGCCAUUACAUUGUUAGAUUCCAAAUUUGAAGAUUCUGUUACGUCUAUGAAAAAUCUUAUUGCUGCAGCUCAAGCAAAAAGGAAACAGGCUCACUUGCAAUCCUUCUCACAUGAUAAUCUUCUUCCCUCUUUCAUAUCCUCCGGUUCUUUGCUUCAGGGGAGAAGCCCUGGUCCUGGUUUGGCAGUAGGCUCUAGCAUAAUAGUACAAACUGACGCAAAUGGAUAUUAUUCUCACUCAGCUAUAGGCUCUCCUCAUUCCCGUCCAUUCACAUCACAACAUCAAUUGGCUCCUGAAGACGUGGAAGAGGGUGGAGUUAGUUCAGGAAACCGGGCACCUGUGGAGUCGUUAAGUGGUUGUACUGAGGCUGCUGUUGCUCGAGAUGCUUUCGAAGGAAUGAUUGAGACCUUGUCGAGGACAAAGGACAGUAUUGGACGUGCUACUCGCCAUGCCAUUGACUGCGCGAAGCAUGGAAUCGCUAGUGAGAUCGUGGAAAUUCUUAUUCGAAAGCUGGAGAGCGAACCCAGUUUUCAUCGCAGAGUUGAUCUGUUUUUUCUAGUGGACUCUAUUACACAAAUUUCACAUAAUCAGAAAGGUAUUGCGGGCUCGUCUUAUAUUCCUUCAGUACAAGCAGCAUUGCCACGUCUACUAGGUGCUGCUGUUCCAGCUGGAGCUAAGGAGAAUCGCCGUCACUGUGUUAAGGUAUUGCGCUUAUGGCUUGAGCGAAAGAUCUUGCCUGAAUCUGUUCUUCGACGUUACGUGGAGGACUUUGGAUUUCCUAAUGAUGACAUGAUAACUGGAAUUUCUCAUAGACGGCCGUCUCGAACAGAGCGUGCUAUAGAUGAUCCAAUUAGAGAAAUGGAGGGGAUGCUUGUUGAUGAGUAUGGGAGCAAUGCAACAUUUGAGUUGCCUGGGUUUCUAUCGUCUAGUGUAUUCGAGGAUGAAGACGAGUUUCCUAGCAGCAUGCUUAAAGAGUUAGGAGAUAAAAUAUCCUUGGAUGUUGCUGGGGUCACAGAAGGGCUAGAACAAGGUGCGGUUACUCCAAACGAUAGGCGGCAUCUCAUUUUAAAGGAUGUUGAUGGUGAGCUUGAAAUGGAAGAUGUUUCUGGUUCUCCUAAGAAUGAGAGAAAUACGGCUCGGAAUGGUUCGUCCAAUUUAGAAUCUAGACAGCUGAAUUCGGAUUGUACGUUGAAAGUAACAACAGAUUCUCCAAAUGAGAUUCCCCCGCUGCCGUUUGGCUCUCCACCGUUGCCUUUGGAUUCUCCACCGCCUCCACCGCCAUUACCACCUUCAUCACCGCCACCACCUCCUCCACCACCCUCGCCUCCACCACAUCAUCUGUCAUCACAGCCACCUCUACCUUUCCAACCAGUUCCAGUUCCACCACAAACAUUACUGCCUCCACAAUCACUGCCGCCUCAACCUUCAUUUACAUAUCCACCUUCAGUUCCACCUCAAUCCACGAUGCCCCCUCCCCAACCAUCAAUGCCACCUCAACCAUCGUUCCCACCUCCACAUUCUUUGUCAUCUUGCUCACCACCAGUACCUUAUCAUCCUCCUCCACCUCAAGAAAAUUGGAGGCCUCCCAGUGGGAAUCAUGUUCAUCAAACGGCUGGAAUUACUCCUCACCCUGGCAAUGUUAGGAAUGUAAGAAAUGAAAUGUUUCCCCAGCAGUCAUCAAGCACUGUGCAACCUGGGUCAUGCCGUCCGCACGAUGAUUCUGGAUUCAGUUCAUCAAGGCCUUUUGAAUAUGGGCACAAUGACAUGUAUCCAGUUUCUCAAGCUUCCCAACCCAACCAACAAUUUCGUCCCCCUUCUACUCCGUACCCUCAUCGACCUUAUCCUCCCAUCCCCCCUGCACAAACACCACCCAAUCAUUUCUCGUACCCACAGCCCUCCUGUCAGCACCAAGAGCAGCAUAUUUAUCCCCGUCCAUACCCUUUGCCCCCUCUUCCCAAUGGUCAAAGACCGUAUGGUAUGGAUGAACAAAGAAGGAUAUCUUCAGGUGAUUUUAAUACAGACAAUCAGCAUGGUAUGUGGGUAGGUGGAGGGAGGAAUCCCGCAUGUCCUGGACCGCCUUUUGUACCUGAAGGGUAUUUUCGGCCACCGAUUGAUAGACCACCUAAUAAUAUGGGGUACCAACAUCCUAUCCAUAAUCCUCGACCAUUUGGAGCUCCAAUGCCAGGUCAUGGUGCUACGCAGAUGCUUCCAUGUAGGCCAGACAUUUCCACCCAUAAUUCUUGGAGAUCAUCAUAAGAUUAAGACAUUGUGCUCUGCCUACAUGUCGUAUGCCUGCCAUCACAUUUUCAUGUGCAAACCUUGACCUAAGAUAUUCAUACAAUAAAACAUUCUAAAUAGAAUUAAGUUUACAGAUGAGUUGAAGAAUCGGUUUCCUAGCACCGGUACGUCUGAAAUUUGGCACGGGUGUUGAGUGGAAUGAUGUAGAUCUAUUUGAGCUGCAAUAACUCCUAGGGUAUUUGUACGUUUGUUGGAAAUUGAGCCUUAUGUUUGGAGAUGUGAUCUUUCUCCUGGUAGUCUUGUCACCAUGUCGUCUGGCAUAAAUGCUGCAAAGAGAUGUUGUACUAUAACUUCUUAGCUGGGAUGUAUCUUUGCAGUUGCACUAGCAUGAUGAUGUUAUGUGGUUGUAGUUGUACCCAUUGAAGUGGGAAAUUCGUGUGCCACCGAAUGGCAGAAAGGGUCUUGGCAUCUGAGUGAGAAUGGCCAGCAAACACUAAAGAAAACAGUGUUACAUCUGGAGGAGGUGCUCGGGAGGAAUGUGUAUAUUGUAUUUUUUUUUCCUGACCGACAAACUGCUGCUACAGAUCGUCAUGGCAUCAGAAUACUUGUUGGUGAAAAAUCAUGUGUUCUCUUUGUUGCUAAUGGUGUGGUUGUGCAAAGCUUCUGCUGUGUGAACUGCUGGAAAUGUAAGAGGCCAAAUCUUUGGUUCUGGUGGUUAGUGUUACUAAGAAAAUCCACGCAGCUUGGAAGUUAUGAAAGAGUGGUUCCUAGCACUAUCUAACCCAUUUUAACAAAGAAGACUUCCCAGUUCUGGUCACAUGCAGAAUUAACUUCUCCAGAUGCCUGAGAUAUUCUUUCUGCAUCUGAAGUGGGGUUGUAAAUCUGCAGUCAUACCCCCCCCUGUUGCAUUGCAGCUGGAGUAUAAAAUGGGAUUUGGAUCUGUAUAAAUGCUCCCUUGUUCCUGAACCAUCAUUAGAUGAUAAGUUUGCACUAAGUUCCCCCUGCAAACAAUUUACAUCAGUUCUGUUUUCGCCGUGCUAAUCUACGUAAGAUGACUCCCCCCUGGUAAAAUGAAAAGGAUAAUUGGCUGAGUCGCCUCAAAAAAAAAGAAGAAAUUAGCAUUAUUCCAAGGAUGUUUUCCUGACAAAUCAUCCUCGCCAUAAGUCCCGCGAUUCUCGAUUUAUUACAGCUGUUUUAGCUUGGGCAUUUAUGUUGAAAAAAAAUCUUGAAGUAUGUAAUCAAUUAAAUUUUUUU